rnacentral:rRNA from 1 species
UACGAAGGGGGCUAGCGUUGUUCGGAAUUACUGGGCGUAAAGGGCGCGUAGGCGGUGUGUCAAGUCAGGCGUGAAAUCCCAAAGCUUAACUUUGGAACUGCGUCGGAUACUGGAUGGCUUGAAUUCGGGGAGAGGGAUGCAGAAUUCCAGGUGUAGCGGUGAAAUGCGUAGAUAUCUGGAGGAAUACCGGUGGCGAAGGCGGCAUCCUGGACCGACAUUGACGCUGAAA